rnacentral:rRNA from 1 species
AGCCACGGCUAAACUCUGUGCCAGCAGCCGCGGUAAGACAGAGGUGGCAAGCGUUGUUCGGAAUUACUGGGCGUAAAGAGUCUGUAGGUGGUUUGUCAAGUCUUUGGUGAAAGGCCGUAGCUUAACUAUGGGAAUGCCAAAGAGACUGGCAGGCUGGAGGCUGGGAGAGGGAAGCGGAAUUUCUGGUGUAGCGGUGAAAUGCGUAGAUAUCAGAAGGAAGGCCGGUGGCGAAGGCGGCUUCCUGGAACAGUCCUGACACUGAGAGACGAAAGCGUGGGGAGCAAACAGGAUUAGAUACCCUGGUAGUCCACGCCCUAAACGAUGGGUACUAAGUGUGGAGGGGUU